CUCAACGGUGGAAUUGCAGGGCAUACUGCGGGUCUUGAGGUCGGUAGAGGUUGCCGGAACUGUAGGUGUAGCGGUGAAAUGCGUAGAUAUCUACAGGAACACCAAAGGCGAAGGCAGGCAACUGGGCCGAUUCUGACGCUCAGGCACGAAAGCGUGGGGAGCAAACAGGAUUAGAUACCCUGGUAGUCCACGCCGUAAACGAUGUGCACUAGGUUCUGGAGACUCUGACGUCCCCGGAGCCGAAGUUAAAACGUUAAGUGCACCGCCUGGGGAGUACGGUCGCAAGGCUAAAACUCAAAGGAAUUGACGGGGGCUCACACAAGCGGUGGAGCAUGUGGCUUAAUUCGAAGCAACGCGAAGAACCUUAUCCAGGGUUUGACAUGUAUGGAUUAACGCCUCGAAAGAGGCGCCACGCCCUUUGGGUGGAACA
rnacentral:rRNA from 1 species